CGUAGAAGUAGGACACGGUGACGGCGUGCUUGCUGGUAGGAACCCAGUUCUUUUUGGUGUUGGGGUCGAUCUGGAAGACGUGGGCUCUGGUGCUGAAGAUGGGCUGCUCUCUGUGAAGGAAAAGAAAAACAAAUAAAAGCGUGUAUGUGAACGGCAGCUGCGUCGCUCGGCAUGAAGCAGAAACACUGGGCUCGUCAUCAAGCUCCGUGCCAACAUGGCAGUCUGAACUGACCGAUUCAGUGGUCUGAGCAGAAAGUGCCAUGUGACACAACAUGCGGAUCAGCCUACUUGGUGUACUAAGCUAAAUCCUGUAAGGACAAUGUAAUACACAAAACAUGUCAACACUUCGGAGUCUGAUGUUAAAGGUAAACAAUCAAUGACAGCAUGUAAUUAUUUAUUUUCAAUUUUUUUUAAUCUGUUUAUAUUUAUAGAAAACUGCUGGUUUCCUCAUAAGCAUCUCUAAAGGAAAUAAGACAAAAAAAACGUUCUAAAGUCUUACUACAAAAUAUGAACAAUGAAUGCGUUCACUUUAAUAUUUAAUCAUUGACAUGAUGGAUUAGCAGGUAAGGUGUUUGCACCUCUAGGUUUGAGGGUUCGAUUCCCACCUCUGACCUCUGACUUGUGUGUGUGGAUUUCCACGUCCACCCUGUGCUUUGGGUUUCUUCCGGUUCUCUGGUUUCCGCUAACAGUCCAAAGACGUGCUGUAGCAGCUCUAAAUUGUGUGUGUGUGUGUGUGUGAUAUGAUGUGCCCUGUGAUUAUUUGGCACCCUGUCCAGGGUGUCCCCUGCCUUGUGCCCUGAAUACCCUGGGACAGGCUCUAGGUUUUCUGUGACCCUGUGUAGGAUAAGCACUACAGAAAUGUGACAGAUGAAAAGAUGGAUGGAUGGAUGGACGAAUUAAUAGAUGGAUGAAUGAAUGAAUGAAUGAAUGAAUGAAUGAAUGGAUGGAUGGAUGGAUGGAUGGAUGAAUGAGUGGAGAGAUAGAUGGAUGGAUGGAUGGAUGGAUGGAUGGACGAAGGAAUGGAUGGGCGAAUGAAUAGAUAGAUGAAUGAAAGGAUGGACGGAUGGAUAGAUGGACGGACGGAUGGAUGAAUGAAUGGAUGGGCGAAUGAAUAGAUGGAUGAAUGAAAGGAUGGACGGAUGAAUUGUUGGAUGGACAAAUGGAUAAAUGGUCUCCUGUGUCAGUGUUUUGUAACAGUAAAGCUGUAAUGGUUUGUGGUUUCUGACACUGGAAAGUCUUUCAGAUGUUGAGCUGUGAUUACUUAUUUAUAAACUUCAUGAUAAAGAAAAACAAACGUACAUUCCAAAUCAUUAAAAAGAGAAAUAUCCAGAUAAAAAUUGAGACACGUUUUUAAAACUGAUUUUCUUGAAACUACUGUGUAAAGGUUCAAGCAACAAAGGCAAAGGACUCAUGAAGCAGAACACUGCACCUGUGUGUGUGUGUGUGUGUGUGUAUCCUAAAUUCUGCCCUUUUAAAACAAGCCAGGACCCUAACUGUGUUUACACCUGUGUUUGAAAAAUCCUCACACACACACACACACGGCUCAUUAGGCCCAUCAUUUUUUUCUGUGCUUUGCAAUAAAACACUGCAUCAAAGCAGGUCAUGGAAACAAAAUGAAUAUUGCCUCUAAUAAUUAAAGUGAUUUAUGACACUCGCUACAGAACAGUGAAAGAUAAGAAAACACAAACACACACACACACACACCAUGGAAGUGAUUUUCAAUUUGGAAUGAAUGAUAUGCAUGCAGUGUCUGCGUACAUGUGUGUCUGUGUGUGUUUUCUUAUCUUUUACUGUUCUGUGGAAUAAACCUCCUUUUCCUCUUAAACAAUUACAAGCGGAGAGCAGUUUUAAGUAUGAAAUGAAGAAAUGGUUUAAUGCUAGAUAACUUUUUAUUCGAUUUUUCAUGCACGGUUCUUGCCUUCUUGACUACUCCAAUCUGUUAUCGGACAUCUUUAACAGGACCGCGCUGGAAACAAGCGUUUGUGUUUCAUUGUGUUAUUUUUCUUCAAUGCUUGUAAGCAUCUGACCACUCUAACAGAGUCUUAUAUUCUUUUAGAUCAGAGAACUGAUUGACGAAAUGAAAAUACAUUCACACACACUAAACAAUAAAACAUGUCUUUAAGGUCUCACAGCUCACAGAGUGAAUCACUUAUCAUGACCAAUAAGUUCAUUACACAUGAUUAAACGAAUUACUGCAUAAUUAAUGAAUACACACACACGCGCUAGUUAAGAGGUUUGAAAAGAGACACCAGCGCUCAAUAUCAUCAGCGCCAAAGGGAAACUUCUAGCAGCUGACCUACAUGAAGCCUGGGAUGGAGAAGCGGCUGCGCGUGUGAUUGAUGGCGCCGCUAUGCAAAUCCUUUCCGUCUGACACGUU